CGGCGAGUGAAGCGGGAUGAGCUCAAGCUUAAAAUCUCCAUACAAUUUUUGUAUGGCGAAUUGUAGUCUAUAGAAGCGUGGUCAGUGUAGGCACUUGGGGUAAGUUCCUUGGAAAAGGACAGCAUGGAGGGUGAUACUCCCGUUCAUCUCUAAGUUGCUUAUGCGUACGACCCGUUUUCUUUGAGUCGCGUUGUUUGAGUAUGCAGCGCAAAGUAGGUGGUAAAUUCCAUCUAAAGCUAAAUAUUGGUGCGAGACCGAUAGCAAACAAGUACCGUGAGGGAAAGAUGAAAAGAACUUUGAAAAUAGAGUUAAAGAGUACCUGAAACUGCUGAAAGGGAACCAAAUCGUUUCCAGUGUCUAUAAUCCGUGGUAUAUCACAUCGGCGAGUGUGUGCGUGUGUGUGCUGUUGCAGUGGCCUUUUGGCUGCGCUCGGCGUAUGUGCUGUAUAUACUUGCUGGUGCCCUGUACUGCGGUGGGACGUCAAGGUCAGUUCGUAUGCUGCGGGAAAUGACUACCAAGGAGGUAGGGCUUACGCUUGCGUUUGUCUGUUAUAUCUUGGUAGACGAGUAGUCGCGGUUGGGACUGAGGUGCCUACAACGUGCUUUUGAGUGGGCUUGGGUCUUCGUGUGCACCGUGUGCGGAUAGCUUGCUAUGCGUGUGUGGUUGUGUAUGGAUUGAUGCGAGCCUUAACUUGUAGUCGUUCGGGGACGUUGACGAAAUGGAACGAUUUGACCCGUCUUGAAACACGGACCAAGGAGUCUAACAUAUGUGCAAGUGUUAGGGUGUGGAAACCCCAGCGCGUAAUGAAAGUAAAGGACAGCGUAAGUUGUCUUAGGUAGGAAAUGCUGCAAGUUUCGGCUUGUGGUGUGGCACUAUCGACCGAUCAUGAACCCUCGUGGUGAAAGAUUUGAGUUUGAGCACAUAUGUUGGUACCCGAAAGAUGGUGAACUAUGCCUGAGUAGGGUGAAGCCAGGGGAAACUCUGGUGGAAGCUCGUAGCGAUUCUGACGUGCAAAUCGAUCGUCGAACUUGGGUAUAGGGGCGAAAGACUAAUCGAACCAUCUAGUAGCUGGUUCCCUCCGAAAUUUCCCUCAGGAUAGCAGCAACUUAUUUACGAUAGUUUUAUGAGGUAAAGCGAAUGAUUAGAGGUUUCGGGGAAGAAACUUCCUCGACCUAUUCUCAAACUUUAAAUCUGUAAGACCUACGAGUUUCUUAAUUGAACUUGUGGAUGUGAAUAUCAAGUUGCUAGUGGGCCAUACGGGGUAAGCUCGUCUGGCGAUGCGGGAUGAACCGAACGCAAAGUUAAAGGGCCAAAAUGCUCGCUCACCUAGAUACCAUAAAAGGUGUUGGUUCAUUUAGACAGCAGGACGGUGGCCAUGGAAGUCGGAAUCCGCUAAGGAGUGUGUAACAACUCACCUGCCGAAUGAACUAGCCCUGAAAA
rnacentral:rRNA from 1 species